GCCGUUGCCAAUCCCUUUUUCUUUUUCUGGUUGUUUUGUCUGUGUUCCUUUUCACACCUGGUUUCAGUUGCUUUGAUUUCUGUGGGUAUAUAGGGCACCUGUUACCUGCCGUAAUUCGUGCAGGAUUAGACUUGUGUGCAUUGCGCUCGAUUGUAUUUGAUGUUUGUUGUUUUUUCGCUAUUACGCACGUGUAUGUAAAGUGUCGGAACUGUAUUUGUUCCUCCGUGCGUUUGCACGAGUUUCUGAUUAUUCGAGAGCGUAGUUUUGGGGUUUUGGUCUGUGCCGUUUUUGUAUUGCUGGACUAUAUUAUUAAACACGCUUCUCAGACAUCCCUGCUCUCUCCUGCGCCUGACUCCUACACCUCUCACCAAGACGCAUGUUAUCACACGAAGACACAAUCAUCAUGGUCAAUGAAAAUGUAACAGAGUACAAGGGAACAGCAAUGAGAAGCCUGGACAUCCUGAAUGCAUCCCGAUUGACAUACUGAAUACUGAAUGACAGCCAUCCCUGAACAGUCACCACUCCAGAUUCGAGAGCAGAUCUAUCUGCUGCCUUCGACACCGUGAACCAUCACAUCCUCCUCUCUACCCUCUCAUGGCUGGUUGUCUCAGGCUCUGCACACUCUUGGCUUGCAUCCUACCUGGCAGGCCGCUCCUACCAGGUGACGUGGAGAGGAUCUGUGUCUGCGCCACAUACUAUCACUACUGGUAUCCCUCAGGGCUCUCCUCUUCUCUCUAUUAGAGGUCGACCGAUUAUGAUUUUUCAACGCCGAUACCGAUUAUUGGGGGGCAAAAAAGGCGAUACCGAUUAAUCGGACGAUUUUUAAAAAAUGUAUAUAUAUACACACAUUUUUGUAAUAAUGACAAUUGCAACAAUACUGAAUGAACAAUGAACACUUUUAUUUUAACUUAAUAUAAUACAUAUUAUGGGCUUUUGGGUGGGUGUUCUUAAGGUGAUUCCACAGGUUGGUGGUAUUUUUUGAUUUAGCCGUUGCUGACCCCAUGCUUACAUCUUUAUCACAAAUAAGACACCUUGCUUUCCCUGGUGCCAAUUCCAUGUAACAGUCCCACACUGGUGCUCUGCUUUUCUCUGCCAUCUGUAAAACACAACCACAGCUCUGAAGUGACAAUGAUACUGAAGAGUCUGCUUAGGAGACAAAUACUCUCAACUGUUUGAAUAAAAAUAGAGUUUAAGUUACCUGUGAUGAAUGUUGAAAACAAACACUGUCAUUUCUACAUGCAGGAAAUCCUAUUUUAAUAAUGGACAUGGUAAGAAUUGACUACCUAAGUGCGAGUCAUAAUUCCCAGGACACCUUCAAGCAAAAUCUGAAAAGCGGUUCCUUCAUUCAUUUAUUCCAUAGGAUAUUUUUAGAUUAACUUAAAAUAAGGUUUGUGUUUCAUGUAGGCUUACACCACCUUGACAAUUUUAUAACGGUGUAGAUAUCCAUA
ensembl:lncRNA